rnacentral:rRNA from 1 species
ACCUACGGGACGCAGCAGUGGGGGAUAUUGCACAAUGGGGGGAACCCUGAUGCAGCGACGCCGCGUGGGUGAAGAAGCGCCUCGGCGCGUAAAGCCCUGUCAGCAGGGAAGAAAAUGACGGUACCUGAAGAAGAAGCCCCGGCUAACUACGUGCCAGCAGCCGCGGUAAUACGUAGGGGGCAAGCGUUAUCCGGAUUUAUUGGGUGUAAAGGGCGUGUAGGCGGGAAUGCAAGGCAGAUGUGAAAACCUAGGGCUCAACCCUGAGCCUGCAUUUGAAACAGUAUUUCUUGAGGGGUGGAGAGGAG